rnacentral:tRNA from 1 species
GGGUAAUUAACUCAAUUGGUAGAGUACUCGGCUUUUAACCGAAUAGCUCCGGGUUCGAGUCCCGGAUUGCCCA